GAUGAAGAACGUAGCGAAAUGCGAUACUUGGUGUGAAUUGCAGAAUCCCGUGAACCAUCGAGUCUUUGAACGCAAGUUGCGCCCGAAGCCAUUAGGCCGAGGGCACGCCUGCCUGGGUGUCACACGUCGUUGCCCCCCCAUCUACUCCUUCGGGAUUGCGGGGGGCGGAUGAUGGCCUCCCGUGCGCCUCGUCGCGCGGUUGGCAUAAAUGCCAAGUCCUCGGCGACGCACGCCACGAAAAUCGGUGGUUGCGAAACCUCGGUUGCCCGUCGUGUGCGGUCGUCGCGCAUCGAGGGCUCGAAAAAAUUGCCGGGCUCCGGCUCGGCUUUCAACGCGACCCCAGGUCAGGCGGGGUUACCCGCUGAAUUUAAGCAUAUCAAUAAGCGGAGGA
rnacentral:misc_RNA from 1 species